GCAGUGGGGAGCUGUUGAGAGCAUUUUGAGUGGGGCAGUGACACUGCUGGCUCUGCAUUUUGGAAAGGUGGUUUUCAGAGCAGUUUGGAUGAUGCUGGGGAGUAGCUGACAGGUUGAAGAUCAGUCCUGAGGAGCAGAUUCAUAAUCCACUUAGGAAAAAGGAGGGGGGAUGCACGGAGUUAGCACAUAUUAAGUGCCUGCUGUAGUCAAGCCCUGUUGGACACCAGGGACAUCUGGACCUUGACAACGGAGCGAAGGGGUGGUCCUGCCUGCACCAGGUUUCAGGGUCCAGCCACUUUGUCACAAGCUACAUCUAUGGCGAGCAACGACUCCCGGCUGCAGGGUGAGACAGAUAAGAGGAUAAGAGGGAGCAGGAGCAGACGGAGAAAGAAGGUGGCAAGACAGAGCAG
rnacentral:lncRNA from 1 species